rnacentral:rRNA from 1 species
AUACGUAGGUGGCGAGCGUUGUCCGGAAUUACUGGGUGUAAAGGGCGUGUAGGCGGGUCUGCAAGUCAGAUGUGAAAUUCCAGGGCUCAACCCUGGCGCUGCAUCUGAAACUGUGGAUCUUGAGUGCUGGAGAGGAAAGCGGAAUUCCUAGUGUAGCGGUGAAAUGCGUAGAUAUUAGGAGGAACACCAGUGGCGAAGGCGGCUUUCUGGACAGUAACUGACGCUGAGGCGCGAAAGCGUGGGUAGCGAACAGGAUUAGAUACCCUGGUAGUCCACGCCGUAAACGAUGGAUACUAGGUGUAGGAGGUAUCGACCCCUUCUGUGCCGGAGUAAACACAAUAAGUAUCCCACCUGGGGAGUACGGCCGCAAGGUUGAA